GUGGAACUCUCUCUAGUUCAUUCCAUCGCAAAAUUCAGCCAAAGGUCAAAUUGGCUAAUGAUACCUUGCAUAAAGGAAGAAUUCUCAUCAUCUCAUCCUAACGAACAUCCGGAUAGGAAAUUACAUUAGCAUGGACUCAAGCACGGAAGGCUAACGGGUCAAGAGGAGACAAGGAGGCAAGCACGAACACGGACGCUUAAGGUUGUACAGAAUCACAUAUGAUCAUCAUGGAGUGUGAGCGGUUGAAGAUCGAGUCAUAUCACAGAUUGUACGGGAAUGCGUAGUCGUGCAGUUUAGUAAACGUAUGUUAUGUUUUAUAUAUAUUAAAUGAGAACGAAGAAUGUAA